rnacentral:lncRNA from 1 species
CUCCCGCCCCGGCGCACCCUGCUCCCCGGCGCGUACCCAGGGGCCACGAUUUUGGCUGGGCGAAAGCGGCCCGCUCCCGCCUCUCCUUGAGUGCGCUGAUUACAUCUACCGGAGACACCUUCCCUUCCCUUGGGGAUCCCAACUCUCAGCUCUUCAGAAAGCAAUGACAAGGCAUCUGACUCAUCCUCCUGCACCUCUUUUCAAUUACUGACUUAAACCAGAUUACAGUUGCUGUCAGGCUUGAAGACUGAGACUUACUGAUACGUGUAUCCUAGAAGUACCUGACACAGUAACACACUGCCUUACCUUGGUCUUGCUCUGCUGCCCAGGCUGGAGUACAGUGGUGCAAUCUAGUUCACUGCAGCCUCAAACUCCCGGGAUUAAGCAAUCCUUCCACUUUAGCUUCCCAAGUAGCUAAAGUUCCAAGUAGGGACUACAGGCAUGCACCACCAGUUCAGGAAAGAUUAAUAAACUUUUGUAUUCUGAGUUUGGAAAUUCUUGCCCAAGAAUAGUUACAGAAUUUUUUUUCAGAACAAAGAGAAAUAAACAUCAAGAGAGGAAAAAGGAGGAAAAGGGGACAUUGCCAAGCUCCUGGAAUAAUGCUCCCACCUGGCAUAAUGACUAAAGUCAAACACACCUGAGUUUAAAUGCUGAGUCUGCCUGAUAUGGUUUGGCUGUGUCCCCACCCAAAUCACAUCUUGAAUUGUAACUCCCACAAUUCUCACAUGUUGUGGAAGGAACCUGGUGGGAGACGAUUGAAUUAUGGGGGCAGGUCUUUUCUGCACUCUUCUCGUGAUAGUGAAUGAAUCUCACAAGAUCUGAUGGUUUUAAAAAAACGGGAGUUUCCCUGCACAAGCUCUCUCUUUGCCUUCCGCCAUCCAUGUAAGACUUGACUUGCUCCUCCUUGCCUCCACCAUGAUUGUGAGGCCUCCCCAGCCCUGUGGAACUGUAAGUCCAUUAAACCUCUUUUUCUUCCCAGUCUCAGGUAUGUCUUUAUCAGCAACGUGAAAACGGGCUAAUACACUUCCUCUUACCAUUAUGUACUUUGAGUAUAUUUUAAAAAUUUCUCAGGCCCAGCAGAGUGGCUCAGCCCUACAAUCCCAGUACUUUGGGAGGCUGAGGCAUAGCUGAAGCCUGGGAAUUUGAGACUAGCCUGGGCAACAAAGUGAGACCCUGGUGUGCACCUGUAGUCCCAACCACUUGGGAGGCAGAGGCAGGAGGAUCGUUUGAACCCAGGAGUUGGAAGCUGCAGCGAGCUGGGAAUACACCACUGCACUCCAGCCUGGGUGACAGGGCAAGACCCCACUUCUAAAAAAAAAACUUAUCUGUCUUCUCUGCAAAUCAGUUACGUAAUCUGUGAAAUUUGGCUGUCAAUUCUGUUAAAUACAAAAAUACUUUUUUUGUUUCAAAGUAGGUACAUGGAUAAUAUUUUGUAAACUUGAAAAUAUUUGAAAUUGAAUUUCUAUUGACUUCAUACAAGGUAGACAAUUUUUAGGGUAUAAUAGGCUUGGAACAUAGCUCUUAUUGAUUUUUUUCCUCAAAAUCAUUUUGUUUUAGUUUGUUUUAUUAUUUAUUUUUUUCCUGAACUCUUUUAAGAUUUUUUUCAUCCUGGAGUAGAAAAAUUUUGCCAGUAUAUCUCUACAUGUAUUUAUUUUGUAUUUAUUUUGCUUGGAAGAGAGGCAGCUUCAUCGAACUUUAUCUAUUGUAACUUUUGCAGCUGUGUUCUUUAUCCCUUUUUAAAUUUACUUUUUACCUAUGUAAAAGUAGUGUGUAAAUAUCAAAUACACUGAUUUACAAAAAUAUAUCAGUGUAUUGUCUCUGCUCCCAAAUCCCAAUUCUCUUUUACCUUAGAAACAACUACAUUCAACUCCUUUAACUAUUUCUUCUGCUAUUUGCCACCAUAUUACUAAAUAAUGUGUUGUAAAUAAGUUGUUAUUUUCUAAAUUUGAACAAUUACUUAUUGACUUUGGACUAUAGAAAAUAUCUAGGUCUCUUACAACUCCUCCCCCACCC